AUCCCUUCCGGUCAUCAAUGGUCUCGAUGACCGGAAGGGAUUCCUUCCGGUCAUUGAAAUUCGAAUCAUCUCGAUGACCGGAAGUGAUUCCUUCCGGUCAUCGAAAUUGCAAUGGUGUUGAUGACCGGAAGGGGU
rnacentral:miRNA from 1 species